rnacentral:rRNA from 1 species
UGGGGAAUAUUGCACAAUGGGCGCAAGCCUGAUGCAGCCAUGCCGCGUGUAUGAAGAAGGCCUUCGGGUUGUAAAGUACUUUCAGUCGGGAGGAAGGUGUCAAGGUUAAUAACCUUGGCAAUUGACGUUACCGACAGAAGAAGCACCGGCUAACUCCGUGCCAGCAGCCGCGGUAAUACGGAGGGUGCAAGCGUUAAUCGGAAUUACUGGGCGUAAAGCGCACGCAGGCGGUUGAUUGAGUCAGAUGUGAAAUCCCCGGGCUUAACCUGGGAACUGCAGCUGAUACUGGCAAGCUUGAGUCUCGUAGAGGGGGGUAGAAUUCCAGGUGUAGCGGUGAAAUGCGUAGAGAUCUGGAGGAAUACCGGUGGCGAAGGCGGCCCCCUGGACGAAGACUGACACUCAGGUGCGAAAGCGUGGGGAGCAAACGGG